CAAAACAACAUAAGGAAAAAAAGAAAAGAAAAGAAAAAAAAACUGCCCAAAACAACAUCGUUUUGGGCAGUCUAGGGAUUUGGGGGAAGUGAGAUUCGAGCUACAAACCAUUUUUCCAAACUUAUUUGGUUGCAAAAAGAUUAAUUACUUUUUACCAACAACUUUAAAUCUCUCUCUCUCUCUCUCUCUCUCUCUCUCGAUCAAAUCCCUAAAUCUCGAUCUCGUAUCAAUCGUAUCUUAGCUUGAUACUUCGAAGCUGAAAGAUCUAGAAUAUACUUGAAUCGCCAUUGAAGAGAGAUAGGUCGAUUUUAAGCGCAAUGAUACAUAUUCUGCCACUGAAGCUGAAGGAGAGUCGCUGGUCAUCAAGUCAAAUGGUAGUAAUGGGCAUCUAACAUGCUGCAUCCGUCCUAGCAGCAUUUUAUGUCCUGGUGAUAAAUUACUUGUUCCAUCAUUGGUAUCUGCUGUGAGGGCAGGGAAAUCAAAGUUUCUUAUGAAUAAUGGCUAGAACAUGUACAAUUUCACUUAUGUUGAAAACGUGGCACAUGCCCAUAUAUGUGCUGAACGAGCUUUUGCAUCGGAGGCGAUAGUUGCAGAGAGAGCUGCAGGGGAGCUUUGUCCCAAGUUUCCGAAGUUGUCCUACAUUAGAAGAAGCAGAUUGAAAUUUAAAUGUGCACUUUGAAGGCUUGGGAGCUCUAUGCGAGAUUUUGAAUAACAUUUCAAUGAAGCCCUUGAGAAGAAAAUGUGAUGGAUGAGUUGUUUUGUUUUGUAGGUAGAUAUAAUUACAAUUUACAAUCUAUUUAUUGAAUAGUUGAAUGCUACAAACAAUGCUUAUGGCACUAGCCUUAUAAAUUGGAAAUGAUAUUUUUGAAAUCUCUAUCAGUUUAUGAUAUACAAUCAAAUAUUACGUAUUAA